GACGAACGCUGGCGGCGUGCCUAAUACAUGCAAGUUGAGCGCUGAAGGUUGGUACUUGUACCAACUGGAUGAGCAGCGAACGGGUGAGUAACGCGUGGGGAAUCUGCCUUUGAGCGGGGGACAACAUUUGGAAACGAAUGCUAAUACCGCAUAAAAACUUUAAACACAAGUUUUAAGUUUGAAAGAUGCAAUUGCAUCACUCAAAGAUGAUCCCGCGUUGUAUUAGCUAGUUGGUGAGGUAAAGGCUCACCAAGGCGAUGAUACAUAGCCGACCUGAGAGGGUGAUCGGCCACAUUGGGACUGAGACACGGCCCAAACUCCUACGGGAGGCAGCAGUAGGGAAUCUUCGGCAAUGGACGAAGGUCUGACCGAGCAACGCCGCGUGAGUGAAGAAGGUUUUCGGAUCGUAAAACUCUGUUGGUAGAGAAGAACGUUGGUGAGAGUGGAAAGCUCAUCAAGUGACGGUAACUACCCAGAAAGGGACGGCUAACUACGUG
rnacentral:rRNA from 1 species